AUCUCUACGGAACAACUCCGGGAAACUGGAGCUAAUACCGUAUACGUCCUUUUGGAGAAAGAUUUAUCGGAGAUGGAUGAGCCCGCGUUGGAUUAGCUAGUUGGUGGGGUAAUGGCCUACCAAGGCGACGAUCCAUAGCUGGUCUGAGAGGAUGAUCAGCCACACUGGGACUGAGACACGGCCCAGACUCCUACGGGAGGCAGCAGUGGGGAAUAUUGGACAAUGGGCGCAAGCCUGAUCCAGCCAUGCCGCGUGAGUGAUGAAGGCCCUAGGGUUGUAAAGCUCUUUCAACGGUGAAGAUAAUGACGGUAACCGUAGAAGAAGCCCCGGCUAACUUCGUGCCAGCAGCCGCGGUAAUACGAAGGGGGCUAGCGUUGUUCGGAAUUACUGGGCGUAAAGCGCACGUAGGCGGAUACUUAAGUCAGGGGUGAAAUCCCGGGGCUCAACCCCGGAACUGCCUUUGAUACUGGGUAUCUCGAGUCCGGAAGAGGUGAGUGGAAUUCCGAGUGUAGAGGUGAAAUUCGUAGAUAUUCGGAGGAACACCAGUGGCGAAGGCGGCUCACU
rnacentral:rRNA from 1 species